rnacentral:rRNA from 1 species
GACGAACGCUGGCGGCGUGCUUAACACAUGCAAGUCGAACGGAAAGGCCCUGCUUUUGUGGGGUGCUCGAGUGGCGAACGGGUGAGUAACACGUGAGUAUCCUGCCCUUGACUUUGGGAUAACUUCAGGAAACUGGGGCUAAUACCGGAUAGGAGCUCCUGCUGCAUGGUGGGGGUUGGAAAGUUUCGGCGGUUGGGGAUGGACUCGCGGCUUAUCAGCUUGUUGGUGGGGUAGUGGCUUACCAAGGCUUUGACGGGUAGCCGGCCUGAGAGGGUGACCGGCGACAUGGGGACUGAGGUACGGCCCAGACUCCAACGGGAGGCAGCAGUGGGGAAUAUUGCACAGUGGGCGGAAGCCUGAUGCAGCAACGCCGCGUGCGGGAUGACGGCCUUCGGGUUGUAAACCGCUUUCGCCUGUGACGAAGCGUGAGUGACGGUAAUGGGUAAAGAAGCACCGGCUAACUACGUG